rnacentral:tRNA from 1 species
GACCCCUUCGUCUAUCGGUGAGGACACAAGAUUUUCAUUCUUGUAAGAGGGGUUCGAUUCCCCUAGGGGUCGCCA